AAUCAACGCUGGCGGCGUGCCUAACACAUGCAAGUCGCACGAGAAAGGGACUUCGGUCCUGAGUACAGUGGCGCACGGGUGAGUAACACGUGAAUAAUCUACCUCCGAGUGGGGAAUAACUGAGAGAAAUCUUAGCUAAUACCGCAUAACACUUACAAGUCAAAGCAGCAAUGCGCUUGGAGAGGAGUUCGCGGCAGAUUAGUUAGUUGGCAGGGUAAUGGCCUACCAAGACGAUGAUCUGUAUCCGGCCUGAGAGGGCGCACGGACACACUGGAACUGAAACACGGUCCAGACUCCUACGGGAGGCAGCAGUGGGGAAUUUUGCGCAAUGGGGGAAACCCUGACGCAGCAACGCCGCGUGGAGGAUGAAAUCCCUUGGGAUGUAAACUCUUCGAUCGGGAAGAUAAUGACGUACCGAGAGAAGAGCCCCGGCUAACUUCGUGCCAGCAGCCGCCG
rnacentral:rRNA from 1 species